rnacentral:lncRNA from 1 species
CCAGGCAUACAGCAUCCCUCCCCCUGGUGCACCCAGGGGAGAAGCAGGGAGGAAGGGAAAGGCGGAGAGGGAGAGGCUCCUGAGCCAAAACGCCAAGCAUGGGGAGAGAACAGAGCAAGAUCUCCACAGCCACAAAGCACAGAGCCAGAGGAACCAGGGAGGUCUCACGAGGUGGUGGUGUGCCGCAUGCUCCAGUCGGUGGGAUUGGAGCUGCUUUGUUUCCUCUGGUUGCCAGAAAAGGGAAAAUGAGCAGCGUUUGGCCUGGAGAUGCUGUCUGGGCACAGCCCUUCUCCGUGGGCUCAGCGCCCCUCCACACCCCUCCUCGGUUCGGCUUCCCGGCUGCUGUAAUCUCUUUAGAGCAGGCUCGGCAUGAAGAUAACGACGCCUUUGAUGGCUGGAACCCGUUAUGAUCAUGCACUGCUUGGUCAUGUCAGGGAUAAAAAUAACUUCUGUAUUUUCAAGGUGUGCAAAUGUCAGCUUUUGAUAAAAGCAAAGUGAAUUUGGAAGGGCAUGGCCCCAAUUCAGCUGACUGCCGUCAGCCUGUGCAGAGCCCGUGUUCAGAACGUGCUAACUGCCGUCAAACAGGCGUGUGUUUAAGCAUCUACUUAAAUGUUGCACUAAUUAGGACCUGUGAGAACUUGUGUGGUAAUUACAUUUUUCCAGCUACACUGCAGCUACUAUUAUUUUAUAAAUAGAUGGAGCAAAAGCAAAUAUGUCUGUUGCUACCGCACCUUGCGCUUUAGAUUAAGAAACACCAGCUGCCUUAAAAAAAUAAAAAUAAAUAAAUAAAAAUAAAAAAAACUGAU